rnacentral:misc_RNA from 1 species
GAUGCAAGGGUCAUUUGCGAAGAAAAAACAUUUAGUAUUAGUGAGAAGAACACCACUCACUAACAAAACAUUCAAUAGGAAAGUAAACAAAUUCUAAAACUCAAAUAGUCGUAACUCAAUCAUUCCCUCUUUCCUUUUCGGGGAAUACCAUGCUACCACUUUCCCAGACUUUAGAAGCUUUAACGAGUAAUUUAAACUGCAUACAAAAUCUUCCAAUUGUACGCCAGCUGGUGAAUUCAGCGAAAACUUUGAAUCUAC